rnacentral:lncRNA from 1 species
GGCUUAUUAUUAUUAUUUUAUAAAAAAACUAAAAAACAAGGUUUGGAACCUUACUCCCCAACAACUACAAGGAUGCUUGCUUGCUGGCAUCAAAGCCCUUCAUUAUUAUUAGUAAGAUGGGGCGGAGGGUGCACAACCCAUUCUAUGCUCCUUUCCUGAGCGUUUCACACUAAGCUCUUCGAUCCUGCCUUUCGCCUCUCUAGGCAUCGCUAUCGCUCAUGACUGGUAUAUGGAUCUCUUUAUGGCACAGCUACCAGCCAAAGCAAAUCGAUUUCAUGUCGGCGUAAAGGUCUCAACGAGCCUUUCCCACAACCAGAGAGAGGUUUCUCACUCUAUCAACCAAUCCGCUACUCGUACUCAGGCAAACUUCCUUACAUUCGCCUACUCGAUGAACAAAGACAGCUAAUCAACUACUACUUUGCAUGGGAACUAAGAAGGCCCAUUUAAAAUGAAAGGAAUAAAAGGUAAUCGCACAAUAUCGGGUAAAUCUCGCAUCAUAAUGGGUAUGAGCUCUUGACUAUAUUGAAUCUUUCUAUCAAUUCUAAGAUAUAGAAACCCUCAUUCUAUUCUUCUUUCUUGGGUAGGAAGGACUCCGCGAAGGGAUGCGCCUUAUCUGGUGGGAAAAAAGUAAGACAGUGGUGACAAGGAUGGCUCAGGUCA